CAGAAUUUUAUAUUAGGUUGUGCUUUUUUAUAUUUGAUUUGACAAAUGCACAAAAUGAGCUUUUGAAAUAAAAAAGUUCGAGAAUUCAACAACUUCAAAAGAGUCUGGUUAACAAGCAUUAUAAGAAUUCAUCGUUGCCCUCAUCGUACUUACUCCACUACGUACGACAUAAAAUAACCAGUUUUCAUUCGAUUAAUCUUGAGAGAAAAUUGUAAUUAGUGAUGAUCAUUCUGCUCACUGUUGCGUUGCUAGUUCACAUGAUACAAUAUGAAUAUAAGUGGUGAAAGACAGACAAAUUAUACGAGUGAGACCAACUUUUAUGACUUUGACAUGUCUCUGUGUCGUCAUCAAGUUUUGAAAAGAGUCUUCUUAUUGCAUCAGGACGAUAGACGACGGGAAAGAGUAUGUUCUGGCAUCAUAAAACAGAGGUAUAAUUUUGGUUGUUGAAUCUCAUGGCAAGAACAUAGACCAAAUUUGUUGUCUUCAAAAUAAAAAUGAAAUUCUAGAAAUCAAACUACGUCAUAUUCUUUGUUGGUCGUCUUUGUAUAGCGGUCAUAACUUGUGGUGCUUGCCGGCCGGAGGUUCCGCUAUUGCUUGAACUACAAGAUUUAUAUAUAUGUUUGUAUGAGGUUUAUCUGGACCCGGGCUUAAUAAAUAAGAAAAAAAUUGAACUUUAUUAACAAAUUUACGUAUCGAUUUAAUUUUCGACAUUCAUCUGAUCACAUAUUGUUGUGAGAUUUCUUUUAUUAAUAAAUAAAAAAUUUACUGAACUCGAUUAUAGAUUUUAGCCGUUGACUAUGGAGUGUUUAAAAUUCGGGCUUAGCGUCCAUCUAAACUUCUUAAAAAAAUUUGAUGUUCAUGGGCCUAAUCUUAUUACUAGCACACUAAUGUACCCACAGGCUUUUAAAUUUUAUGUUCACGGGCCUAAUCUUAUUACUAGCACUCUAAUGUGCCCCAGGCCACAUCUAACCCAUUUAGAACCGAGACUUUUAACUCUUACUAUUUUGGAAUAACCUUUAUUCUAAUAUUUUGUCCACAAAAAAACCUUUAUUCUAGUUUAAGUUGAAAAAUGGUUUUGCAACCAUUGUGGAUACCUUUGGCUCUAACCGGUAACCACAAAAAAAAUAGAAAAAGAAUAGGAAAAAAUGAAUGAAAGAGAAUAAAAUAAAAAGAAAAUUUAUUUCUCCUCUAAUUUGUCAAGGAAUAAUUAUAGUCUUUUAUUCCUUAAAUUUUAAGUAAUGUUAAAGAAUCAUAGGUAACAAGUAUUCAUUGUAAAUGAUGAAAUUGUAAGAAAUGCUAAAAAAAUUAGCUAUUCCCACUUAUUCCCUUGAUCACCAUUUGGAGCCUUUGUAUUUCAAAAAAAAAAACAAUGUGGAUGCUCUAUAUAUGUGUUUCAAAAAAAAAAAAUGUGGAUGCUCUAUAUACAGAAAAUAAAAUUUACCAUAUGUAAACGGCCACAUACACAAGACGAUGUAUGGUGGUUCGCUAGCUAUAGCAAACGGCUAACUCCUAGCAUAUCUUACACCACUGGUCAUAUAUGUAACAUUAAACUAGAAAUUAUUAUCUAAUUUAUAAAGCUCACUACACACUUAGAUGGAUGGAUCUAAAUAUGAUUAAAACGAUAGUACUUUGUAU
rnacentral:lncRNA from 1 species